rnacentral:rRNA from 1 species
AGUGAACGCUGGCGGUAGGCCUAACACAUGCAAGUCGAACGGCAGCACAGUAAGAGCUUGCUCUUACGGGUGGCGAGUGGCGGACGGGUGAGGAAUACAUCGGAAUCUACUUUUUCGUGGGGGAUAACGUAGGGAAACUUACGCUAGUACCGCAUACGACCUACGGGUGAAAGCAGGGGAUCUUCGGACCUUGCGCGAUUGAAUGAGCCGAUGUCGGAUUAGCUAGUUGGCGGGGUAAAGGCCUACCAAGGCGACGAUCCGUAGCUGGUCUGAGAGGAUGAUCAGCCACACUGGAACUGAGACACGGUCCAGACUCCUACGGGAGGCAGCAGUGGGGAAUAUUGGACAAUGGGCGCAAGCCUGAUCCAGCCAUACCGCGUGGGUGAAGAAGGCCUUCGGGUUGUAAAGCCCUUUUGUUGGGAAAGAAAAGCAGCAGGUUAAUACCCCGCUGUUCUGACGGUACCCAAAGAAUAAGCACCGGCUAACUUCGUG